UACGUAGGGGGCGAGCGUUGUCCGGAUUUAUUGGGCGUAAAGAGCUCGUAGGCGGUUCGUCACGUCGGGAGUGAAAACUCGGAGCUUAACUCCGAGCCUGCUUCCGAUACGGGCAGACUAGAGGUAGGCAGGGGAGAGCGGAACUCCUGGUGUAGCGGUGGAAUGCGCAGAUAUCAGGAAGAACACCGGUGGCGAAGGCGGCUCUCUGGGACGGUACUGACGCUGAGGAGCGAAAGCGUGGGGAGCGAACAGG
rnacentral:rRNA from 1 species